AACGAACGCUGGCGGCAUGCCUAACACAUGCAAGUCGAACGGGGCCCUUCGGGGUUUAGUGGCGCACGGGUGCGUAACGCGUGGGAAUCUGCCCUUUGGUUCGGAAUAACAGCUGGAAACGGCUGCUAAUACCGGAUGAUGACGAAAGUCCAAAGAUUUAUCGCCAGAGGAUGAGCCCGCGUUGGAUUAGGUAGUUGGUGGGGUAAAGGCCUACCAAGCCGACGAUCCAUAGCUGGUCUGAGAGGAUGAUCAGCCACACUGGGACUGAGACACGGCCCAGACUCCUACGGGAGGCAGCAGUGGGGAAUAUUGGACAAUGGGCGCAAGCCUGAUCCAGCAAUGCCGCGUGAGUGAUGAAGGCCCUAGGGUUGUAAAGCUCUUUUACCCGGGAAGAUAAUGACUGUACCGGGAGAAUAAGCCCCGGCUAACUCCGUG
rnacentral:rRNA from 1 species